rnacentral:rRNA from 1 species
GAUGAACGCUAGCGGCAGGCCUAACACAUGCAAGUCGAGGGGGAGGUUACUUUCGGGUAACUGAGACCGGCGUACGGGUGCGUAACGCGUAUACAAUCUGCCUUUCACUGGGGGAUAGCCCGAAGAAAUUUGGAUUAAUACCCCAUAGUAUAGUAAUACGGCAUCGUGAUGCUAUUAAAGCUUAGGUGGUGAAAGAUGAGUAUGCGUUCGAUUAGCUAGUUGGUGAGGUAACGGCUCCCCAAGGCGAUGAUAGAGAGGGGUUCUGAGAGGGAUGUCCCCCACACUGGUACUGAGAUACGGACCAGACUCCUACGGGAGGCAGCAGUGAGGAAUAUUAGACAAUGGUCGGAAGACUGAUCCAGCCAUGCCGCGUGCAGGAUGAAGGUCUUAUGGAUUGUAAACUGCUUUUGUAAGGGAAGAAUAAGGGCUACGCGUAGUUUGAUGACGGUACCUUACGAAUAAGCAUCGGCUAACUCCGUG